UACAGAGGUCCCGAGCGUUAGGCGGAAUCACUGGGCUUAAAGCGUGUGUAGGUGGAUCGUUAAGUACCUUGUGAAAUCCCACGGCUUAACCGUGGAACUGCUUGGUAUACUGGCGGUCUUGAGCCAGCUAGGGGCUACCGGAACAAAUGGUGGAGCGGUGAAAUGCGUAGAUAUCUGGAGGAAUACCGGUGGCGAAGGCGGCAUCCUGGACCGAGAUUGACGCUGAUGAGCGAAAGCUAGGGGAGCAAACGGG
rnacentral:rRNA from 1 species